rnacentral:lncRNA from 1 species
CAAGAAGUUCCACUUGAUCUUUACAUCAAGCCUUAUUCGAAAAGAAAACAUGAACGAAAGCCAAGGUGUGAAUCAUAAAGAAACACAUCCACAUGCUGGUGCCUUUACAGCACUCUGCAGCGAGCGAAGCAGAGCACCCUAGCCAGUGUUCUGCAUGCCGGCGGCGAUGCCCUUCAUGGUGAGGAUGAGCGUGUCCUCCAGCCCCGGCCCGUACUCGCUCGCCGGGUUGAGCUUCACAAUCCCGCGCGGCUGGUUCUCGUCGGCGAACUCCUUGGACAGCGGCGGCUGCGGCGUCACCUUGAAGUUCGGGUCCCUUAUCCUCUUCAGGGUGUAGGCCUGCCACACGUUAAGAAUGGUGAUGUAGGGGUCGCGCAGCCGCAGCUGCUGCUUCAGGCCGGGAUCGCUUUCAAGGAUUUCCUUGUGCCCAGCAACCUGCACAAAGAUGGUGAGUAGUCAGGAUUUCCUUGUGCCCAGCAAUCUGCACAAAGAUGAAAUUCAUUCAUAUGAGUUUUAAUUUAUUACCUGCAGGAUAAGCUUCUCUGUUUCCACGUAGUUGUUCCUGAGCUGCUCCCCGAAUGGCUUGAGUUCGUCGGCGACGAGCAGCUGGUCGUAGAGGCCGGCGAUGGUGGGGUCUCCCUUGGCUAAGACCAUCUCGAGCAGGUCCAGGGUGACCCUGAAGAAUGGCCACUCGUUGUACAUCUCCUUGAGCAUCUGGAAGUUCUUGAUAUCCUUCUUCAUGGCGUGCUUGAACGCGGCGCCGAACCCGAGCCACACCGGGAGGUGGAACCUCGUCUGCGUCCACGAGAAGAUCCACGGGAUCGCGCGGAGCGACUCGAUGCCGCCCUUCGGCUUCCUCUUCGCCGGUCGGCUGCCGAUGUUCAACCUGCCGUACUCCGUCUCCGGGGUAGCCGACCGGAAGUACUCCACGAACCGGGGCUCCCUCAUGACGACGGAGCGGUACUCAUCGGUGGCGACGGCGGCGAUCUCGUCCAUGAGCGCGCGCCACUCGGGCUUGGGGGAGACCGGCGGGUGCAUGCCGUGCUCGAGCGUGGCGGCGGUGAAGCGCUGCAGCGUCCGGAAGCAGAGGUGCUCUUCGCCGAAGGAGGUUUCGAUGACCUCGCCCUGCACCGUCACACGGAGGGACCCGUUGAUGGUGUCCGGCGGCUGGGACAGGAUGGCGAGGUGAGUCGGCCCGCCGCCCCUGCCGACGGUGCCGCCGCGGCCGUGGAACAUGGUCAGCUUCACGCCGUAGCGCUUCGCCACCUUCGCCAUCUCCUCCUGCGCCUUGUACAGGUGCCACGCCGCCGACAGCCGGCCGGCGUCCUUGCCGGAGUCCGAGUAGCCGACCAUCACCUGCUGCUUGCCGCCGAUCCGGUUCAUGUACCAGUCCAGGGAGAAGAGCCGCUCUAUGGACGCCGGCGCCGACUGCAAGUCGGCGAGCUUCUCGAACAGCGGGACCACGGGCAGCGGCUGCUUCACGUGGCACUCACGCUGCAGGAGCUCGACGGCGAGCACGUCGGAGGGCGCCGUCGCCAUGGAGAUGAUGUACGGGCCGAAGCUGUCGCGGGGCAGCUCGGCGAGGACGUGGAAACAUCCGAGCACGUCGGCGAUCUCCUCGGUCUGGGGCAUGUCCUUGCUCAGCAGUGGCCGCUUGCCGCGGAGCUCGGAGAGCAGCCACUCCUGGCGCUUCUCCUCGGACCACUCGCGGUAGGACCCGAUGCCGAGGUGCGUGGUGAUCGCGUCGAUCACGUCUGUGUGACGCUCCGACUCCUGACGGAUGUCCAGCUUCACCAUGGAGAGCCCGAACGUCGAGACCUGCCGCAUGAAGUCGAGCAGGCUCCCGUCGGCGAUGGUCUUGUCACCACAGUCACACAGGGAUUUGUAGCACAGCUCAAGGGGCUCCAGGAACUGACCAAAUUUGAAGGGUUCCACAGUGACAUUAGUUAAACUAUAUUAUGAUAAGGAGCAUGACAUUAACAAAUAACAAUGUUUAUGGAACCCUCAAAAUAACAAGAGGAGCAUGAUGCCGGAUUACCUCUUCAACAUUCUUAAAGGCCGAGUCCUCCGGAAUGUCAGAAAAUCCACUAGUUAGCAGAUGGCGCGAGCGUUCGCGUGUGCUGU